UUAGCGUUACUUUUUAAGAAUUCAGUGGUUCCAAAAAUUUUGUUUACUUCAAUAACUUACAGUUUUUUUCUUUUUUUGUAGGUUUAACAAGUUCAUUCUGCUACCUGUUGUAGUAUACCAUGGCAAGAAUCUUAAACCUACUACCUUACCAGCCAUUGAAUCUGCUUAAGACAUGACGUCUACCCAAAAUCGCAUGGUAUGAGAUGUUCAUUCUACCUGUUAUAGAAGACCAUGUGAAGAUUGUGAUGUACCUUACCAUACUCUGCUCCACUCAUCCUAUUAGCAUAAGACUUGAAAUCUUGACAAAAUCAUGGAGAUGGCACCUACUAACAGCGGAUGUUACAGGCAAAGCCUCCUAGUAAUUGAAUACUUUAAUGUGCAUACAAUUUCUGCUUCAGGUGAUGUCCUGAUUGGGGGCGGGGCUUACCCUCACAGAAUCUCUUAGGUGGCUUCAGAUACCGAUGUGCUCCCAGAUACUGCAGCAAAUUCCGUGGACUUUCACAUCAAAACUGCACUAAAUCUUUCCCAAAUUACUACAAGUGGGUUAGCAAGUCUAUGGGAAUGUAUAGUUUGUCAGUUCUUUGCUAAUAUACAGGGAGAACUGUUUCUUGUCAGACAUACAUAUUUCCUUUAUAACUAUGCGGUAGGAAUAUAUACAGUAUAUGCUGGACUGGUCUUACUGCUAUAUACUGUAGUGUUCACAUACAUAUACAGACCGGACUUCUGUUGUUAAUAAGUUCCUUCCCUCAGGAUCUAUAAAUGCACUUGAUACCUUAUGAUUUCUCUUCCUUCCUGCCUUUUUCUCUUCAUAUAGAUGAAUAACCUGUGAGGGGACUUAACCACUUAAGGACCUGGGGUUUUUCCGUUUUUGCAUCUUAGUUUUUUUCCUCCUUACCUUUAAAAAAUCAUAACUCAUUCAAUUUUGCACCUAAAAAUCCAUAUAAUGGCUUAUUUUUUGCGCCACCAAUUUUACUUUGUAAUGACAUCAGUCAUUUUACAC